GCGCGGGGCAGCCAUUGCUCUUUCGCGUAGAGGAUCUUUCCGAACUCUUUCUUCCCUGCUCGCGUCUCUCCCAUCUCUCCGGCUGGAAUCGGAGCUUUGUGUCCCUUUCUCCUGGCUUUUAGGAGUGUGUGACUUCAGCUACGAGACCUCCGUCGGCAGACUCAGUUAGCGCGAGGGACGUGGGUGUGUAUGAGGAGAGACGGUCAGGCAAUUGUGACGCUUAAGGCCUUUGGGUCGUGAUGCACCAAAUCUCAAAGUGGCGAGAGUGGAAGGAGCCCGGAGAUAGCAAAAGCACCCUAAAUGGAGUAGUGGAAAUGCUUUCACUGGCAUUUAAAAAAUCAUCCUCACAAGACUCGGUGAGGUGGACCUUUGGGUCAUACUUAUCUUACAGACCGAGAGGGACGUCCUGAGAAGUUACUUGCCCAAGAUCACAGAACAGUUCGUAGCAUAGGCACGGCUCAAACCCGAGUCACUGGCUCCCUGUUGAGUUUUCUUCAAACGAGCUUAGGGUUUAUCUCACUGUUCGGUAUAUCACCACUGUAUAGUGGUUACAUUUUAAAAGUUUUUUUACAUUCAAGUGUGGACCCUAAGGGGUAGAUUGAGAACUUUUAAAUGGAGGGGGUGGUGCAUAGGAAUUACGGCUGAAAAAAGUCUCUUUUGCCCCUGGUUUCAUACAUGCUGAUGUACGCGGGCCUCUCACUGUUGUGGCCUCUCCCGCUGCAGAGCACAGACUCUGGACGCGCAGGCUCAGCGGCCAUGGCUCACGGGCCCAGUCGCUCUGCGGCAUGUGGGAUCUUCCCGGACCGGGGCACGAACCCGUGUCCCCUGCAUGGGCAGGAGGACUCUCAACCACUGCGCCACCAGGGAAGCCCUUGCCUUCUCUUUUGACCUGAUUAUCUGAACCACCACCCUUCCUCUGAGCACACAUGUAAAUCCUAAUCAGUUCUUCAAAGUCCAGAUCACUAGAUUGUGACUUGCUGCCAUAGUCAGAAAGUUCCUCAAAGGCAGGAUCGGUUCUUAACCAUUUUUUAACUUUGCACCUAGCAGAGUCUGGCUCAAAGGUCCUAAGAAAAACCUCACUGAUGGAGAAAACCACUGCUGACUCAGAGAUACUGCAUUCUUUACAAAUUGAAGGUUUGUGGGAACCCCACAUCAAGCAAGUCUAUCGGCACCAUUUUUCCAACAGCAUUUGCUUACUUCAUGUCUCUGUCACAUUUUAGUAUUCUCACCAUAUUUCAAACUUUUUCAUUAUUAUUAUACUUAUGGUGAUCCAUGACCAGUGAUCUUUGACGUUACUAUUGUAAUUGUUUUGGGGCACCAUGAACCAUGCCCAUAUAAGACAGAGAACAUAGUCAAUAAAUGCUGUGUGUGUUCUGACUGCUCCAUCAACCAGCUGUUCCCCAUCUUUCUCCUUCUCGUGCCUCCCUGUUCUCUAAGAAAAAACAAUAUUGAAAUUAGGCCA